GACGAACGCUGGCGGCGUGCUUAACACAUGCAAGUCGAACGGAAAGGCCCUGCUUGCAGGGUACUCGAGUGGCGAACGGGUGAGUAACACGUAGGUGAUCUGCCCUGCACUUCGGGAUAAGCUUGGGAAACUGGGUCUAAUACCGGAUAGGAGCCAUCUUUAGUGUGGUGGUUGGAAAGUUUUUUCGGUGUAGGAUGAGCUCGCGGCCUAUCAGCUUGUUGGUGGGGUAAUGGCCUACCAAGGCGGCGACGGGUAGCCGGCCUGAGAGGGUGUACGGCCACAUUGGGACUGGGAUACGGCCCAGACUCCUACGGGAGGCAGCAGUGGGGAAUAUUGCACAAUGGGCGCAAGCCUGAUGCAGCGACGCCGCGUGGGGGAUGAAGGCCUUCGGGUUGUAAACUCCUUUCGCUAGGGACGAAGCUUUGUUGUGACGGUACCUAGAUAAGAAGCACCGGCUAACUACGUG
rnacentral:rRNA from 1 species